rnacentral:rRNA from 1 species
GACGGUAACAGCCCGGUAGUUGAAAUGGCUUUCCCUCCAGAGUGGAUCCUGAGUACGGCGGAACACGUGAAAUUCCGUCGGAAUCCGGGAGGACCAUCUCCCAAGGCUAAAUACUCCCUAGUGACCGCUAGUGAACCAGUACCGUGAGGGAAAGGUGAAAAGCACCCCGGAAGGGGAGUGAAACAGUUCCUGAAACCGUGUGCCUACAAGUAGUUAGAGCCCGUUAAUGGGUGAUAGCGUGCCUUUUGUAGAAUGAACCGGCGAGUUACGAUUUGUUGCAAGGUUAAGCGGAAAAAGCGGAGCCGUAGCGAAAGCGAGUCUGAAUAGGGCGCAUAAGUAACAGGUCGUAGACCCGAAACCAGGUGAUCUACCCAUGUCCAGGAUGAAGGUAAGGUAAUACUUACUGGAGGUCCGAACCCACGCACGUUGAAAAGUGCGGGGAUGAGGUGUGGGUAGCGGAGAAAUUCCAAUCGAACUUGGAGAUAGCUGGUUCUCUCCGAAAUAGCUUUAGGGCUAGCCUCGAGGUAAAGAGUCAUGGAGGUAGAGCACUGUUUGGACUAGGGGCCCUUCUCGGGUUACCGAAUUCAGAUAAACUCCGAAUGCCAUGUACUUAUACUCGGGAGUCAGACUGCGAGUGAUAAGAUCCGUAGUCGAAAGGGAAACAGCCCAGACCACCAGUUAAGGUCCCCAAAUAUAUGUUAAGUGGAAAAGGAUGUGGGGUUGCUUAGACAACCAGGAUGUUGGCUUAGAAGCAGCCACCAUUGAAAGAGUGCGUAAUAGCUCACUGGUCGAGUGACCCCGCGCCGAAAAUGUACCGGGGCUAAACAUAUUACCGAAACUGUGGAUGAACC